GAUGAACGCUGGCGGCGUGCCUAAUACAUGCAAGUCGAGCGAACGGACGAGAAGCUUGCUUCUCUGAUGUUAGCGGCGGACGGGUGAGUAACACGUGGAUAACCUACCUACAAGACUGGGAUAACUUCGGGAAACCGGAGCUAAUACCGGAUAAUAUUUUGAACCGCAUGGUUCAAAAGUGAAAGACGGUCUUGCUGUCACUUAUAGAUGGAUCUGCGCUGCAUUAGCUAGUUGGUAAGGUAACGGCUUACCAAGGCAACGAUGCAUAGCCGACCUGAGAGGGUGAUCGGCCACACUGGAACUGAGACACGGUCCAGACUCCUACGGGAGGCAGCAGUAGGGAAUCUUCCGCAAUGGGCGAAAGCCUGACGGAGCAACGCCGCGUGAGUGAUGAAGGUCUUCGGAUCGUAAAACUCUGUUAUUAGGGAAGAACAUAUGUGUAAGUAACUGUGCACAUCUUGACGGUACCUAAUCAGAAAGCCACGGCUAACUACGUG
rnacentral:rRNA from 1 species